UGCAGCUGGCGCCCUCUGAAUUAAAAGGAGCCGUGGUGACCGUCAGCGGUGCGGCUGCCAACAGCACCACUCUUAUUUAUUCAACAUUUUCACCACACGCUCUACUGAGAGCGUUCUCCGAUUAUUGCCACGAAAGAACUUUCAAGAAAAAUUAACUCUGCAAAUAUCCUUGGGGCAAGACGAAGACAAACACCACUGGAGCCGGGAAAGGAGAAAGGAGGCAGAGCCUGUACAAGAGCCAUGGGAAAGCUGGGAGCUAUGGAUAACAGAACCUGCAGUUCCCAAGCAGCACCCGCAGAAAUGCUGAGAAGACUUCCGUGGGGGCCUAUUGUCAAUUAUCAGGGAGAAGAGAAGUGUGUAGACGUUAGAAACAAGGACUGUGCGAGCUUCAUGUGCAGAGUCUGUUCGUGCUGAAGAUGCAGGAGGGCUGGAAACGGCUCCUUGGGAUCCAGCACCAGGGCUGUGGGCUCAGAGAAACGUGACUGAGCUGUGAUCUGCUCUCCCAUGCCCCGGUCAGACACACUUGAGGAACCUUGAAGGUGAUAAGGUUCUCAAGAGGAAUGAUCCCAUCUUCAGGACAACCCUCCCAGAAGCUGUACGUCUAAGCGGCAGUCCUCCCCUUCCUCAUCACCUCUAGGAUGCAGGAGUGUGCCUACGUAAGUGCAAUCUGUCUUCUGUACCUCUGGGAAUGGAAAAUGGACAGGGAUGUCCUUGCUCCCUCUGCCAGGUCACCUCUCUCCAUCAUCUCUCACAGGGUCC